rnacentral:rRNA from 1 species
GCGGACGGGUGACUAACACGUAGGUGAUCUACUUUGAAGUUGGGGAUAACCAUUGGAAACAGUGGCUAAUACCGAAUAAGCUGUAUUAUUUUGUUGAUACAGGAAAGGCGCUUUUGGCGCUGCUUUGAAAUGAGCCUGCGGCUGAUUAGCUUGUUGGUGGGGUAAAGGCCUACCAAGGCGACGAUCAGUAGCCGGCCUGAGAGGGUGAACGGCCACACUGGGACUGAGACACGGCCCAGACUCCUACGGGAGGCAGCAGCUAAGAAUCUUCCGCAAUGGGCGAAAGCCUGACGGAACGACAUCGCGUGGGUGAAGAAGGCCGAGAGGUUGUAAAGCCCUUUUAUAGGUGAGGAAUAAGGUUUACAGGAAAUGGUAGAUUGAUGACGUUAACCUAUGAAUAAGCCCCGGCUAAUUACGUGCCAGCAGCCGCGGUAAUACGUAUGGGGCAAGCGUUGUUCGGAAUUAUUGGGCGUAAAGGGCACGCAGGCGGAUGUAUAAGUCUGGUGUGAAAUCUAACAGCUUAACUGUUAAAUUGCACUGGAAACUGUAUGUCUUGAAUUGCAGAGGGGAGUUCGGAAUUCUUAGUGUAGGGGUGGAAUCUGUAGAUAUUAAGAAGAACAUCGGUGGCGAAGGCGGAACUCUAUCUGACAAUUGACGCUGAGGUGCGAAAGCGUGGGGAGCAAACAGGCUUAGAUACCCUGGUAGUCCACGCCGUAAACGUUGUACACUAGGUAUUGGGUGUCAAAACUCAGUGCCGAAGCUAACGCAUUAAGUGUACCGCCUGGGAGUAUGCCGGCAACGGUGAAACUCAAGGAAUUGACGG